rnacentral:rRNA from 1 species
CAAACCGACACAGGUAGUCAAGAUGAGAAUGCUAAGGUGAGCGAGCGAACUCUCGUUAAGGAACUCGGCAAAAUGACCCCGUAACUUCGGGAGAAGGGGUGCUCUUUAGGGUUAACGCCCAGAAGAGCCGCAGUGAAUAGGCCCAAGCGACUGUUUAUCAAAAACACAGGUCUCUGCUAAACCGUAAGGUGAUGUAUAGGGGCUGACGCCUGCCCGGUGCUGGAAGGUUAAGAGGAGUGGUUAGCUUCUGCGAAGCUACGAAUCGAAGCCCCAGUAAACGGCGGCCGUAACUAUNNCUUGUCGGGUAAGUUCCGACCCGCACGAAAGGCGUAACGAUUUGGGCACUGUCUCAACGAGAGACUCGGUGAAAUCAUAGUACCUGUGAAGAUGCAGGUUACCCGCGACAGGACGGAAAGACCCCGUGGAGCUUUACUGUAGCCUGAUAUUGAAAUUCGGCACAGCUUGUACAGGAUAGGUAGGAGCCUUUGAAACGUGAGCGCUAGCUUACGUGGAGGCGCUGGUGGGAUACUACCCUAGCUGUGUUGGCUUUCUAACCCG